CGUAGACUCCUACGGGAGGCAGCAGUGGGGGAAUAUUGCACAAUGGGCGAAAGCCUGAUGCAGCGACGCCGCGUGNGGGAACGACUGGCCUUCGGGUUGUAAACCUCUUUCAGUAGGGAACAAGGCAUCAUUUUGUGGUGUUGAGGGUACUUGCAGAAGAAGCACCGGCUAACUACGUGCCAGCAGCCGCGGUAAUACGUAGGGUGCAAGCGUUAUCCGGAAUUAUUGGGCGUAAAGAGCUCGUAGGCGGUUUGUCGCGUCUGUCGUGAAAGUCCGGGGCUCAACUCCGGAUCUGCGGUGGGUACGGGCAGACUAGAGUGAUGUAGGGGAGACUGGAAUUCCUGGUGUAGCGGUGGAAUGCGCAGAUAUCAGGAGGAACACCGAUGGCGAAGGCAGGUCUCUGGGCAUUAACUGACGCUGAGGAGCGAAAGCAUGGGGAGCGAACAGGAUUAGAUACCCUGGUAG
rnacentral:rRNA from 1 species